rnacentral:rRNA from 1 species
UACAGAGGUCUCAAGCGUUGUUCGGAUUCAUUGGGCGUAAAGGGUGCGUAGGUGGCGCGGUAAGUCGGGUGUGAAAUCUCGGAGCUUAACUCCGAAAUUGCAUUCGAUACUGCCGUGCUCGAGGACUGGAGAGGAGACUGGAAUUCAUGGUGUAGCAGUGAAAUGCGUAGAGAUCAUGAGGAAGACCAGUGGCGAAGGCGGGUCUCUGGACAGUUCCUGACACUGGGGCACGAAGGCCAGGGGAGCAAACGGG